rnacentral:tRNA from 1 species
GCGCCCGUAGCUCAGUGGACAGAGCGGGGGCCUUCUAAGCCCAAGGUCGCGGGUUCGAAUCCUGCCGGGCGCACCA